UACGUAGGGGGCGAGCGUUGUCCGGAAUCAUUGGGCGUAAAGGGUGUGUAGGCGGUUGUUUAAGUUUGGUGUGAAAUCUCCCGGCUCAACUGGGAGGGUGCGCCGAAUACUGAAUGACUAGAGUGCGGGAGAGGAAAGUGGAAUUCCUGGUGUAGCGGUGAAAUGCGUAGAUAUCAGGAGGAACACCGGUGGUGUAGACGGCUUUCUGGACCGUAACUGACGCUGAGACACGAAAGCGUGGGUAGCAAACAGG
rnacentral:rRNA from 1 species